GAUUAAGAAGAGAUUUAUACUGUUAACUUAUAUUUUGUCAAAUAUCUAUUGCAUUCAGGCCCAACUAGUCCCUAUACCGCUUGUAGAACCUUCUAAUUGCAACACAGUUGGUACAGUCAGGCAAUACUUUGAUACGACACGACUGGAAUGCGUAGAUUGUUCACAAGAUGAGAACUUCCAAGUCACAAGCCCAGAUGGCUUUUCCUGUAUUUGUAAACUUGGCUUCAAAUACAAGCAAAGUUUUGGUGGGAAUGUCACAUGUGAAGCUUGCCCAGCAGGUCAGGUUGCUUCAUCUACUGGCUACAAUUGUCUGAAAUGUCCAGCAGGAGUGGACACAACAACUAAUACAUGUGCUUCUUGUAAUGGAACAUUAG